CAACACCUUCUCCUAUAGUUCCUACUCAAAAGGUGUCCAGAAAAUCCAAUGGGGCCUCAAGUAGUCCAAUAUUAGUUACACCGGAAGCCAAGACUAAGGGAGUUCUCAAAAGAAUGAGAAGAGAGAGACUUUCAGAAGCAAGCCCUUCAAAGAAACAGGGGUCAAACACACUACCACUUGAAUCUCCUGAGAAAUCACAAAAAGCCCCUAAAAAGGCAAAUCCUAACCCUGCAAUAUCAAAAAGAAAAUCACAUCGAUCACAGUCAUUGGAAGUAGAGAAUCUUGAAAACAUAACAAUAGGUGAUGAUGACUUGGUGGUGGGCAAAGAAGAACCUAAAGAAGUUGUGACCCCUAUUAAAGAAUCUACAGAAAGGAAUACAAGAGGACCAACUAAAUUGAAGACUUUAGCAAUAGACAUUGACAAUCGUUUCGAAGUGAAGUUUAAUUCACGGGGUCAACCAAUUGGUGAAGCAUCAGUAUCUUUGUUCAUUCUUAGGACCAUUGGUAAGAGAAUUUGUACCAGUAACCAUACGUGAUUGGAGAAAGGUUGCUAAAGAAUUGAAAGAUAUUUUAUGGAACUAUGUUACGAUCUUUGGAGAGCUUCAAAAUCAAGAUUGGUUACUAAACUUCAAGAGGCACCAAAUGAAGAAGUGAGAUUAAAUUUGCGACCUAAGAACAUCAAGUCUGAAGAUGAAUGGAAGACUUUUGCUAGGGAGAAAACCAGUUCUGGAUUUUGGGUAAUUAAUGCUAACUUUACUUUCAAUUUUUUUUUGGUUUAUAUCAUCACAUGAUUAAUCAUUUAUUGUUAUAGGCUAAAACUGAAAAAAUCAGAGAGAGACUGAAGAAUCAAGUUCUUCACACUUGUAGCCGUAAAUGAUAUGCACGAUUGAUUGAUGAAUUGACAAACGAUAGUGCAAGCAAAGAAGUUCCUUCAAGGGUUGAUGUUUGGACGAAGGCACAUAAGAAGAAAAACGGAGAAUCUGAGUUUGUGGAAGAACAUAAAAAAUAUACAACUGUGUCUUCUUCGACUACAAAUGUCAAUGAGGAUAUUCUUUCAAAGGUGCUUGGUCCCGAAAAGAGCAGUUGUGUGAGAGCUUAUGGAAGAAGAGUUGCUCAAACAAAGUUAACAAUUGGAUCGAUGAAAGAUGGUCGUGUGACUAAUGAAAAAAUGAUACAUAUGGAGUAUAUAAUUCAGUUAGAAGAUCGAUACAAAGAGUUAAAAGAACGAAUGUCACAUAUGGAUCAACUAAUUCAUUCUUUAAUGAAAAAUCAGACUGUGGAGCAAUCAAAUAAUCAUGUUCCUGCUGAUAAGGUAACAUGUCAUUUAUAUUUGAAACUAUAUCUUAUUUCUAAAUCAAUUAAUCUUGUGUUGAAAUGUUAUUGAAGAGCAAAAAGGUUAACACGCAUGGCGAUAGAUGCAAGAUUUUGGAUUGGUGUGGAUCUGGUGAAACUAUUGCAGAUGGGCACUUCGUCUCAAGCGAUCCAAAGGAUCUCGUCCAUCAGAUUCCUCUCGGACCUAAUGCUAUGAAAAUAGGAAUAGAUGUGGUAAGACAACCUGGUGCAUUUUUGUGGAGGCCUACUCCAGCCAUUACUUGUAUCGAAGAAGCUAUUGCCAAUACAAUUGCAUGGCCAGCUGAUAAAGUUAUAAUGAGGUAAUAAUUUCUUCAAUAUUUCAUAUGUUCUAAAUUUUUUCUUUAUGGUAUAUGCAUUUUUGUACUUUUCUUUUUCCUUGAUGUUUUAUUUAGCCCCAAAUCAACGAGUAAUCAAAAGGUUGAAGUAACAUAAGAAGAACUAGCGAAGAUCGCGGAGUAUAAUCAUGGACUCAACUGUUUACUUUCGGCGUGCUUUCGUAAUGAUUGAAUUUCUUUCCAUAUCUUCAUUUGUUGUUGUUGUGAAAUAACUUGUAUUAACUUUGAUUUUCAACUAGAAUUUGUAUUAGGUCUUUUAGAUCUUUCAUAUAAUAUACUUAACCAGUCUUUAUUGUGUUUUUUGAUGAUAUUUAUUUG